UCGUAACAAGGUUUCCGUAGGUGAACCUGCGGAAGGAUCAUUACUGUGCCGUGGCGGCCGCCCCCCGGGGCUGGUCGCUCACCGUGCCACCCGUGUCUAUCUUACCUGUUGCUUCGGCGGGCCUGCGGGCCUCGCUCGCUGCCGGGGGACCUCGUCCCCGGGCUCGUGCCCGCCGGAGACACGCCUAAACACCUUUAUAACGUAACAGUCUGAGUAAUGAUACCAAUCAUUAAAACUUUCAACAACGGAUCUCUUGGUUCCCACAUCGAUGAAGAACGCAGCGAAAUGCGAUAAGUAAUGUGAAUUGCAGAAUUCCGUGAACCAUCGAAUCUUUGAACGCACAUUGCGCCCCCUGGUAUUCCGGGGGGCAUGCCUGUCCGAGCGUCAUUGCAACCCUCAAGCGCGGCUUGCGUGUUGGGCCUCGUCCCCCGUGGACGGGCCCGAAAGGCAGUGGCGGUACCGUGCUCCGGUGCCCGAGCGUAUGGGCUUUAUCACCCGCUCUAGUGGCCCGGCCGGCGCUGGCCUCAACCGUAGACCCCCGUCUACACACACCAAGGUUGACCUCGGAUCAGGUAGGGAUACCCGCUGAACUUAAGCAUAUCAAUAA
rnacentral:misc_RNA from 1 species